UCUCUCUCUCUCUCUCAGUAGUUACAUGGAUUUUCAAGUAUGUUUUUACGGUUCCACUGACAGAUUAACAUUUCUACAAUAUUAACACGAGAAAUAUGCUUUUAAAAGCCUAUAGUCGAAGUGACACAGGUUAUUAAUGGUGUUUUUACGGUUUUAGUUAAGUCUAGUUAAUAAGAUGAACGCUUUUGAAAACCCUGCUAAUCAUCUUUCUGGCAUUAGGAAACAGUCGUAAGGAGAGAGAGAGAGAGAGAGAGAGUAGAAGAGAGUUAGUAAAUCCUAUCCUGCGCUGGUUCGUGAGUUUGCUGCGAUGACGCGGUGCAGCAGUGAGUGAAAUUUCGAAUCAUAAUCACGUAGGGAGUGUUCACUGGGGAAACGUCAGUGAGGGUAUUUAUAUUAUUUGAAUUAUUACUUGAUAAUAUGUCAACUUUUGCGUGUGUGUGUGUGUGUGUGUGUGUGUGUUGGUGGAGGAGCAGAGUCAGGUGACGCUUGGUAGGGCGACCGGCUGGCUGCAGUGUUUUGGCCGGCGCUGGUCAGUCUUGCCCCACACACUCUGGUAAUAAGUGUUUCCGUAUUCCCGGCUGCUUCUCCCUGUACCAAGCACCGCCACGCAUCCCCAGAGAGCCACGAGUACGUAAGGGUGCAGAGCUUGAGAUACCACACGGAAGGGGGUGAAGGAGCGUUGGGGAUGCCUGAAGGAGGGAGAGUGAAGGAGGGAGGCUUGGAGGUGAAGGAAAUGCAGAAAAUACCUCUAAUACUGAACGCCUUCUCUGCUCAGACCAUCCUUUAUUGAAUAUUUGAGCUGAGGCUUCGAGAUACGAGUGAGCCAGGUGACCCCCAGAACAGCGCCAGCCUGCCUACUAUGGUGUGGCAAGCCUGUACGUCCCCCUCCCACCCUCUUCCUCCUCUUCCUCCUCCUCCUCUUCCUCCUCCUUUUCCUCCUCCUCCUCCUCCUCCUCCUCCUCCUCCUCCUCCUCCAGCAAAGAAGAGACGUUUGAUGAGCUGGUGGACAGGUUGCAGAGGUUGGGAUACCACACGGAGAGGGGUGAAGGAGCCUUGGGGAUGCCUGAAGGAGGGGCAGUGAAGGAGGGAGGCCUGGAGGUGAAGGAAAUGCAGAAAAUUCCUUCAAUACUGAGCGCUUCUCUGGUCAGACUCCACUGAAUAUUUGUACGAGGCUUCCAGAUACGAGAUGAGAAUUCGUUUUUUAGUGUUUGAAGGCAGUUUUAAGUGUUUAUAGGUGUUUUUAGGCUGUUUUAAUGUUGUUUUGAGUAUUUUAUGUUUGUUGAAGGAAGGAGAAAUCUUAAAUACAGUUAUAAGGCCGAAGAAAGGCUUAAAUUGAGAGUUUUAAAGUUAGCCUAGUGUUUUUCUGUUACUUGUUUAUGCCAGGGGUGACAAUAAAUAUUAAAAUUA